UUUCCUCAAUCACAGCUUAGUCUAUUUUUAACAGAGGCAGAUUCAAAAUUUCGUCAGUUGGUUGAAACAAGCAGCCGUUGGAGGAACUAGAAGUCGUUCAAAGCGUUUAGUGAAGGUAUAAAGUGAUUCUUACCUGCGACUCUGGCUGAAUAAAUACUGCUGCUCAUGUUUUAUCAGGUAUAAAGAUUCUAACCUGAGAAUUUUCCUAACCCCCAAACAACCUAAAGCACAUCGUCGCAGAAAUGUUGAAGAGAAGUUUACUUGUGUUAUUUAUGACAUUGUGUUUUACGUCACUGGGSGCGGCCAGAAACCCUUUACAAGAAGCUUAUGCCAACAUAAAAUGUGUACUAACAGGGUAUACUCAUACAGUACAAGUACAUAAUUGUCAACCACACUCAGUCAAGAUUAACAUUUGCCAAGGGACAUGUAUGUCCGCCUCGACACCUACUGGUGGUAAUUAUGAACAAGUKUCCAUGUGUACCUGCUGUAGACAGACUCAGACWAAGACCAUCUCCGUGGGCCUGUGGUGUCAAAAAAAUCCGAGCUCAAAGAUGCACAGAUAUUUUCACCCAAUUGAAAGUGCUACUGAAUGUUCGUGUACUCUGUGUUAAUAUAUAAUUAUGUACUUUUAAGUUUAUAAAUAGUGGACAUGACUUUGUUAAGAGUUUCUUUUCUUUCUCGUCUCAUUUUUUCCCGGUAUAAAAAAGUUACUGGACAGCUUGGUWAAACAAUAAAAAAAUAGCGUGUCUUUGGA